AUUGUACUCCCUCCGUCCCAUAUUAAGUGACUUUCUAUUACAUGUAUCUAGGCGCUUCUUAGUCUCAUAUUAAGUGACUCAAAUUUGCCCAAAUAUGAAUGUAUCUAUGCCUAAGAAGCGUCUAGAUACAUGUAAUAGAAAGUCACUUAAUAUGGGACAGAGGGAGUAUAAG
rnacentral:pre_miRNA from 1 species